GGAGGCAGAUCAGGGGCAGAGCCAGCCAGGGCCGGCGCGUCCAUAAGGCGGCACAGGCGGCCGCCUUAGGGCGCACUGGCUCUGGGGGCGCAAAAUUCCAGUGACCGGCAGGAGGGAAGUGCUCCCUCCUGCCAGGCCACCUCCUGGAUCCCCGGCGCUAAGCGACAGGGAACAGAGGGGCGAGGGGAGAGGAACACUAAGGGACAGGGAAAGGAGGGGGGAAGGGAAAGGAACACUGAGGAACAGGAAAAGGAGGAGAGAGGGGAGAGGUACAGUAAGGGUCAGAGAAGGGAGGGGACCAUUAAGGGACAGGGAGAGGGGCUGGAUGUGAAAGAAACACACACCGGGGCUUGAGAAGGAAAGAGACACAAAGGAGCUGGGAAGAAUAAAAGACACAAAGGGGCUAGGAGAAAAGGAGUCACACAAAGGGGCUGGGAGGAGUAAGACACAAAAUGUGGGAGGAUGUAAGAGUCAUACAAAGAGGAGAGAUAGGAGACACACAAAGGCAAAGGGAGUCAGAUAUUUAAAAGACGGGAUAAGAAACACAAAAGGGAGGUUAAGAGGCACAUGGGUGAAGAUGU